rnacentral:rRNA from 1 species
GAUGAACGCUGGCGGCGUGCUUAACACAUGCAAGUCGAACGGUGAAGCAGUGCUUGCGCUGUGGACUAGUGGCGCACGGGUGAGUAACACGUGAGAAACCCGCCCCCGUCACUGGGAUAAGACUUGGAAACGGCGUCUCUUAUAGGAUAUGAGCUCUCCUCGCACGUUCUGCAGUUGGAAAGAUUUCUCGGUCUGGGAUGGGCCCACGGCCUAUCAGCUUGUUGGUGGGGUAAUGGCUCACCAAGGCGUCGACGGGUAGCCGGCCUGAGAGGGUGACCGGCCACACUGGGACUGAGACACGGCCCAGACUCCUACGGGAGGCAGCAGUGGGGAAUAUUGCACAAUGGGCGGAAGCCUGAUGCAGCAACGCCGCGUGAGGGAUGACGGCCUUCGGGUUGUAAACCUCUUUUGGCAGUGAAGAAGCGAGAGUGACGGUACCUGCAGAAGAAGCGCCGGCUAACUACGUG